UACGGAGGGUGCAAGCGUUAUCCGGAUUCACUGGGUUUAAAGGGUGCGUAGGUGGGCAGGUAAGUCAGUGGUGAAAUCUCUGGGCUUAACUCAGAAACUGCCAUUGAUACUAUCUGUCUUGAAUACCGUGGAGGUCAGCGGAAUAUGUCAUGUAGCGGUGAAAUGCUUAGAUAUGACAUAGAACACCAAUUGCGAAGGCAGCUGGCUACACGAAUAUUGACGCUGAGGCACGAAAGUGUGGGGAUCAAACAGG
rnacentral:rRNA from 1 species